rnacentral:rRNA from 1 species
UGUGUAGGUGGUGAAAUAAGUUAGGUGUGAAAUCCUCGGGCUUAACCUGAGAAUUGCGCUUAAUACUGUUUUGCUAGAGUACUAUAGAGGGUAGUGGAAUUUCCAGUGUAGCGGUGAAAUGCGUAGAUAUUGGAAGGAACACCAGUGGCGAAGGCGACUACCUGGAUAGAUACUGACACUGAGACACGAAAGCGUGGGUAGCAAACAGGAUUAGAUACCCUGGUAGUCCACGCUGUAAACGAUGAGAACUUGCUGUUGGGUGCAUGAAAGCACUUAGUAGCGGAGCUAACGCGUUAAGUUCUCCGCCUGGGGAGUACGGCCGCAAGGUUAAA